rnacentral:rRNA from 1 species
UGAACGUUGGCGGCGUGCCUAAUACAUGCAAGUCGAACGAGAAGCCUAAACUUCGGUUAAGGUGGAGAGUGGCGCACGGGUGAGUAACACAUGGCUGACCUGCCCUUCAGAGGAGGACAACCACUGGAAACGGUGGCUAAUACUCCAUAUGCUCACGGGAAUUAGAACACUGUGAGGAAAGUUCCGGCGCUGAAGGAGGGGGCUGUGGCCCAUCAGCUAGUUGGUGUGGUAAUGGCACACCAAGGCGAUGACGGGUAGGGGACCUGAGAGGGUGAUCCCCCACAUGGGCACUGAGACACGGGCCCAACUCCUACGGGAGGCAGCAGUAAGGGAUAUUGCGACAAUGGGCGAAAGCCUGACGCAGCAACGCCGCGUGUGGGAUGACGGCCUUCGGGUUGUAAACCACUUUUCUGUGGGAAGAGGAAGGACGGUACCACAGGAAUAAGUCUCGGCUAACUAC